rnacentral:lncRNA from 1 species
AAGACAGGGUUUCUCUGUGUAAUGGUCCUGGCUGUCCUGGAACUCACUUUGUAGACCAGGCUGGCUUCAAACUUACUGAGAUCUGCCUGCCUCUGACUCCUAAGUACUGGGAUUAAAGAUACCAUUCAAGAAUCAGCUGCAGACAGCAAACUGUUCCAGACGACUGUGAGCCCUGGGCUUGCUCAAAGCUGAUGUGAACCAGUCCACCUGAUGUGAUUGCUCCCUGUCUCUUCAGUUGGGUCAGCAAACCAGAUGCUUCUGAUGAAUGCUCCAUUCCCAGAAUGCCCCACCACCUGAAUCCCCUCCUGGCCUUUGACUAACUGUCCAGCCUUCCUGGGCCCUGACAAUGACAUCCUAAUGUUAUCAGGAACCAGUUACAGAAGGGAAUAUGUUCCUGCUUGUCCUCAACAAAAGGCUGGAGUGUACUUCAGAAGGAAACUCCCUGGCAUAGGGGACAAAAUGGCUACCUAUAUAAGAGAUAGUUCUAGGACAAGCUCCAAAGUCACAGAGAAACCCUGUCUCAAAAAAAACAAAAACAAAAACAAAACACUACAACAAAACAACAACAAAAAACAAAAAAAGAAACCCAAAUAGACCCAGAUCUAUCAACAAGUAGGUUCAUUACCUGAAAUAGUUCUGUAACAUGAUAGGAGACCCAGUCUGCUCUAUGUAAAAGAAGAGGUUAUCGUAUGGCUUUAAGAAGAAAUUUUUCUUUUCUUUUUCUUUUUUUUUGUUUUUCAAGAAAGGGUUUCUCUAGCUUUGUAGACCAGGCUGGCCUUGAACUCACAGAGAUCCACCUGCCUCUGCCCUCUGAGUGCUGGGAUUAAAGGUGUGUGCCACCACUGCCCAGGGAAAAAUCAUUUCUAUGCAAAUCACUUGGGAAUAAUUAGAGAUAAUCUGGAUGUACUAAAAAAAAAAUGGGACAAGAAAUGAAAUUAAUGACUGGUUCUCAUUCUGAUUUUCAGGCUCCUCUUAGAUGGUGACUCUGAUGUCAGCCAUCACAGGGCCUUUGGCCCUUCUAUUUCUGCUAAUUACUGUUGACCCUUGUAUCAUUAAUGCCUUAACUAGAUACAGAAAUCCCUGUCUGGCUACCAUGAAGCUGAUGAUUGUUAAACAGGUACCCACCAUAGAGACAAGGAUUUGACUCAGGAUAUAACUUGGGGUUGGGAGGGUGUGAUGGCCAAAGUUAUAUGUUAAGUUUAAAUCACUGUGCUAAAAAUAAAUAAAUAAAUAAAUAAAUAAAUAAAUCACUGUGCUUAAGACAUAGGUAAGAUAAAAAUGCCUCUAGCCUGUAAGUCCCACUCAUCGAAGGACAGGUAGAAUGCUGGGGGUUCAUGUAAGAUACCAAGUGUAGUGUUUUCACUUAUGUAAACAAACAUGGGUGCACCAAUUGCACAACAUGUGUGCUUGAUUACAUGUAGGCAGGAGUUACAUAGACAGGAGUACAUCAGGAUGUGUGCUUGUCCCUGAUUGGUCGGAGGUGUGAAGUACAUAGACUUGUGGGGUUUGCCUUUAUAAACCUCUGACUAAUGUAAUUCGGGGCCAUACUCUGGGAAUACCAGGUAUGGACGUGGCCAGUAUCCAUGGUCCUUGCUUUAAAUUUGACUUAAAAUUGUGGUAGUGGUCUUAUUCUCACUCAGUGAGAUGAGCACAUGAUGCUGGAGCAAUAGCUGAGAGCUUACAUCUUGAUCCACAAGCAUGAGGCAGAGAGAGUUAACUGAGAAUGGCAUUGAAAGAUUUUAGUUUGCUGAGAGAAAAAGUUUUGAAAGUUUUGAAAGUUCACAGAGAGAAAAAGUUUCCCACAGGCCUUGGCCCAGGACAAGGAAGUUGGCCCCAACCCGAGGGCAGACAGACAAUCCUUUUUGGGUCACACCUGGCUGGCCAACAGACAAUCAAGGACUUUUCAGGGUACGUUCUAUGGUUUUUCCUUUAUAAAAAAGCAGGUCACACCUGGGUGACCACUCUAACAUGAGAUCAUACUUUGUAAUCAAUCACUUUGCGCCCCUUGCCUGUAUGCUGAUCUGUGGUUUUUUUCCUAUAUAAGAAGCCUGUAACCCUUGCUGGGUUAUGCAGCUUUCCCGAUAUUGCUGACACCCGAAUGUGCAUUCGUUCAAUAAACCCUCUUGAUUUUGCA